UUCUUUGUGAAGUUUUUUGUAUAUCUCACGUAUACUUAAAACAAAUAUUUUCCGGGUGUGCAGUUUAAGUGAUUGGCCACAAAGUAUUAACUAACUUAUAUUUACUGAGCGAUUAAAGCUUUUAUGAAUCGGUUUUUAAAAGUGUUACAGGUAAGUUAGUGUGGCCACGAAUGUUCAGUGAAUUGUCAAGGUGCAGUGUGAGUAAUACCAAGACAUUGCACAACUUUUAGGAAUGUACACAACUACGCACAAAUAAGAUAUAGCAAGGAUGGGGGUUCGGAGAAAAAGCGUUUUAUUUACAACUGUACUGCUAGCAUGCAUCAACUGCAGCUAUGGAUGUGCAGUCACAGGGGCCAUCACUCCGACUCUAUUUCUGACUAGUUUUAGAGAUGUAGACAGAGGCACAAUUAUUGACACCGGUACAA